rnacentral:rRNA from 1 species
UACGGAGGGUGCAAGCGUUAAUCGGAAUUACUGGGCGUAAAGCGCACGCAGGUGGCUGAGUCAGUCGAUUGUGAAAGCCCUGGGCUUAACCUGGGAAUUGCAGUCGAUACUACUCAGCUAGAGUAUGGGAGAGGGCAGUGGAAUUCCCGGUGUAGCGGUGAAAUGCGUAGAUAUCAGGAGGAACACCUGUGGUGUAGACAGCUUACUGGACCAUUUCUGACGCUGAGACACGAAAGCGUGGGGAGCAAACGGG